UGGGGGAUAUUGCACAAUGGGCGAAAGCCUGAUGCAGCGACGCCGCGUGGGGGAUGAAGGCCUUCGGGUUGUAAACUUCUUUUGCUCUGAACAAGGCAUGCCUUUGGGGUGUGUUGAGUGUAGGGGUUGAUUAGCGCCGGCUAACUACGUGCCAGCAGCCGCGGUAAUACGUAGGGCGCGAGCGUUGUCCGGAAUUAUUGGGCGUAAAGGGCUUGUAGGUGGCUGGUUGCGUCUGUCGUGAAAGCUCAUGGCUUAACUGUGGGUUUGCGGUGGGUACGGGCUGGCUUGAGUGCAGUAGGGGAGGCUGGAAUUCCUGGUGUAGCGGUGGAAGGCGCAGAUAUCAGGAGGAAUACCGGUGGCGAAGGCGGGUCUCUGGGCUGUUACUGACGCUGAGGAGCGAAAGCGUGGGGAGCGAACAGG
rnacentral:rRNA from 1 species